rnacentral:rRNA from 1 species
UACAGAGGUCUCAAGCGUUGUUCGGAUUCAUUGGGCGUAAAGAGCUCGUAGGCGGCUCGGUAAGUCAGGUGUGAAAACUCUAGGCUCAACCUAGAGACGCCACCUGAUACUGCCGUGGCUAGAGUCCGGUAGGGGAGCAUGGAAUUCCUGGUGUAGCGGUGAAAUGCGCAGAUAUCAGGAGGAACACCAGUGGCGAAGGCGGUGCUCUGGGCCGGAACUGACGCUGAGGAGCGAAAGCGUGGGGAGCAAACAGG